GCCGCCCGUGGCGGGAUGGAGUGGAUGAGGAAGAUGUGGUAUUUGGAAAGGCAGACGUUCCAGAGACCAAGUGCUUAGUAAACACGGAUGUUUCCUAGACUCAGACCAGGACAUGUGUUCAUGAGGGUACCAGGAACUGUGGCCUCUACUGAGUUCCUGCUACUGCACAUCAGGAGACCUCUGAAGUGGACCUUACUUCCUAGAAGGCCAGAAGAGUUCCCGAAAGUACGCGGGUCUCUCACUGUUGUGGCCUCUCCCGUUGUGGAGCACAG